UUUUUGCGUGAGGGAUAAAAGUGGAAAUCCUUUUAUGAAGUGCAACGGAAUAAAAGAUUACAACGGAUAGCCCGACCCGAU
rnacentral:sRNA from 1 species